GAUGAGGUGGUCGAGUGGUUAAGGUGGUGGACUGCUAAUCUACUGUGUUCUGCACACAUGGGUCAAAUCCCAUUCUCAUUG
rnacentral:tRNA from 1 species